AGAGUUUGAUCCUGGCUCAGGAUGAACGCUAGCGAUAGGCCUAACACAUGCAAGUCGAGGGGCAUCACAAAGAGUAGCAAUACUUUUGGUGGCGACCGGCGGAUGGGUGAGUAACACGUAUGCAACCUACCUUCUACAUUGGGAUAACCCGUUGAAAGACGGACUAAUACCGAAUAAUACAGGGGCGCCACAUGGUGAUAUUUGUUAAAGUUUCGAGCAAUCGAUUCGGUAGAAGAUGGGCAUGCGUAUGAUUAGCUAGUUGGUGAGGUAACGGCUCACCAAGGCAACGAUCAUUAGGGGUUCUGAGAGGAAGGUCCCCCACACUGGUACUGAGACACGGACCAGACUCCUACGGGAGGCAGCAGUGAGGAAUAUUGGUCAAUGGGCGCGAGCCUGAACCAGCCAAGUCGCGUGAAGGAAGACUGUCCUAUGGAUUGUAAACUUCUUUUGUACAGGAAUAAAGUGUUCUACGUGUAGGAUUUUGCAUGCACUGUACGAAUAAGGAUCGGCUAACUCCGUGCCAGCAGCCGCGGUAAUACGGAGGAUCCGAGCGUUAUCCGGAUUUAUUGGGUUUAAAGGGUGCGUAGGUGGACUGAUAAGUCAGUGGUGAAAGUUUGCAGCUUAACUGUAAAAUUGCCGUUGAAACUGUUGGUCUUGAGUGCAAAUGAGGUAGGCGGAAUGUGUUGUGUAGCGGUGAAAUGCUUAGAUAUAACACAGAACACCGAUUGCGAAGGCAGCUUACUGGGAUGCAACUGACACUGAUGCACGAAGGCGUGGGGAUCAAACAGGAUUAGAUACCCCGGUAGU
rnacentral:rRNA from 1 species